rnacentral:rRNA from 1 species
AAUGAACGCUGGCGGCGCGCUUAACACAUGCAAGUCGAACGAGAACGUUCCUUCGGGGAUUAGUACAGUGGCGAACGGGUGAGGAAUGCGCGAGAAUCUGCCCUUUGGUGAAGCACUACCCCCAGGAAACUGGGGUUAAUACUGCAUAACCUCGAAAGAGUAAAGGUGGCCUCUUGCUACCGCCAAAGGAUGAGCUCGCGUCCUAUCAGCUUGUUGGUGAGGUAAUGGCUCACCAAGGCGGUGACGGGUAGCCGGCCUGAGAGGGUGUACGGCCACACUGGGACUGAGAUACGGCCCAG